rnacentral:tRNA from 1 species
GCGCCGGUGGUGUAAGGCGAACAUCGCUGCCCGGAAAGCAGAAGAUGCGGGUUCGAGUCCCGCUUGGCACG